UACGUAGGUGACAAGCGUUGUCCGGAUUUACUGGGCGUAAAGAGCGCGCAGGCGGUCGAUCAAGUCGAGUGUGAAAGCCCCCGGCUCAACUGGGGAGGGUCAUUCGAUACUGAUCGACUCGAAGGCAGGAGAGGGUAGUGGAAUUCUCGGUGUAGUGGUGAAAUGCGUAGAUAUCGGGAGGAACACCAGUGGCGAAGGCGACUACCUGGCCUGUUCUUGACGCUGAGGCGCGAAAGCUAGGGGAGCAAACGGG
rnacentral:rRNA from 1 species